GGGUUGUGAGGUUAAGCGACUAAGCGUACACGGUGGAUGCCCUGGCAGUCAGAGGCGAUGAAGGACGUGCUAAUCUGCGAUAAGCGUCGGURAGGUGAUAUGAACCGUUAUAACCGGCGAUUUCCGAAUGGGGAAACCCAGUGUGUUUCGACACACUAUCAUUAACUGAAUCCAUAGGUUAAUGAGGCGAACCGGGGGAACUGAAACAUCUAAGUACCCCGAGGAAAAGAAAUCAACCGAGAUUCCCCCAGUAGCGGCGAGCGAACGGGGAGGAGCCCAGAGCCUGAAUCAGUGUGUGUGUUAGUGGAAGCGUCUGGAAAGGCGYGCGAUACAGGGUGACAGCCCCGUACACAAAAAUGCACAURYUGUGAGCUCGAUGAGUAGGGCGGGACACGUGGUAUCCUGUCUGAAUAUGGGGGGACCAUCCUCCAAGGCUAAAUACUCCUGACUGACCGAUAGUGAACCAGUACCGUGAGGGAAAGGCGAAAAGAACCCCGGCGAGGGGAGUGAAAAAGAACCUGAAACCGUGUACGUACAAGCAGUGGGAGCCUCUUWAUGGGGUGACUGCGUACCUUUUGUAUAAUGGGUCAGCGACUUAUAUUCUGUAGCAAGGUUAACCGAAUAGGGGAGCCGAAGGGAAACCGAGUCUUAACUGGGCGUUAAGUUGCAGGGUAUAGACCCGAAACCCGGUGAUCUAGCCAUGGGCAGGUUGAAGGUUGGGUAACACUAACUGGAGGACCGAACCGACUAAUGUUGAAAAAUUAGCGGAUGACUUGUGGCUGGGGGUGAAAGGCCAAUCAAACCGGGAGAUAGCUGGUUCUCCCCGAAAGCUAUUUAGGUAGCGCCUCGUGAAUUCAUCUCCGGGGGUAGAGCACUGUUUCGGCAAGGGGGUCAUCCCGACUUACCAACCCGAUGCAAACUGCGAAUACCGGAGAAUGUUAUCACGGGAGACACACGGCGGGUGCUAACGUCCGUCGUGAAGAGGGAAACAACCCAGACCGCCAGCUAAGGUCCCAAAGUCAUGGUUAAGUGGGAAACGAUGUGGGAAGGCCCAGACAGCCAGGAUGUUGGCUUAGAAGCAGCCAUCAUUUAAAGAAAGCGUAAUAGCUCACUGGUCGAGUCGGCCUGCGCGGAAGAUGUAACGGGGCUAAACCAUGCACCGAAGCUGCGGCAGCGACGCUUAUGCGUUGUUGGGUAGGGGAGCGUUCUGUAAGCCUGYGAAGGUGURCUGUGAGGYAUGCUGGAGGUAUCAGAAGUGCGAAUGCUGACAUAAGUAACGAUAAAGCGGGUGAAAAGCCCGCUCGCCGGAAGACCAAGGGUUCCUGUCCAACGUUAAUCGGGGCAGGGUGAGUCGACCCCUAAGGCGAGGCCGAAAGGCGUAGUCGAUGGGAAACAGGUUAAUAUUCCUGUACUUGGUGUUACUGCGAAGGGGGGACGGAGAAGGCUAUGUUGGCCGGGCGACGGUUGUCCCGGUUUAAGCGUGUAGGCUGGUUUUCCAGGCAAAUCCGGAAAAUCAAGGCUGAGGCGUGAUGACGAGGCACUACGGUGCUGAAGCAACAAAUGCCCUGCUUCCAGGAAAAGCCUCUAAGCAUCAGGUAACAUCAAAUCGUACCCCAAACCGACACAGGUGGUCAGGUAGAGAAUACCAAGGCGCUUGAGAGAACUCGGGUGAAGGAACUAGGCAAAAUGGUGCCGUAACUUCGGGAGAAGGCACGCUGAUAUGUAGGUGAAGCGACUUGCUCGUGGAGCUGAAAUCAGUCGAAGAUACCAGCUGGCUGCAACUGUUUAUUAAAAACACAGCACUGUGCAAACACGAAAGUGGACGUAUACGGUGUGACGCCUGCCCGGUGCCGGAAGGUUAAUUGAUGGGGUUAGCGGUAACGCGAAGCUCUUGAUCGAAGCCCCGGUAAACGGCGGCCGUAACUAUAACGGUCCUAAGGUAGCGAAAUUCCUUGUCGGGUAAGUUCCGACCUGCACGAAUGGCGUAAUGAUGGCCAGGCUGUCUCCACCCGAGACUCAGUGAAAUUGAACUCGCUGUGAAGAUGCAGUGUACCCGCGGCAAGACGGAAAGACCCCGUGAACCUUUACUAUAGCUUGACACUGAACAUUGAGCCUUGAUGUGUAGGAUAGGUGGGAGGCUUUGAAGUGUGGACGCCAGUCUGCAUGGAGCCGRCCUUGAAAUACCACCCUUUAAUGUUUGAUGUUCUAACGUUGGCCCCUGAUCGGGGUUGCGGACAGUGUCUGGUGGGUAGUUUGACUGGGGCGGUCUCCUCCUAAAGAGUAACGGAGGAGCACGAAGGUUGGCUAAUCCUGGUCGGACAUCAGGAGGUUAGUGCAAUGGCAUAAGCCAGCUUGACUGCGAGCGUGACGGCGCGAGCAGGUGCGAAAGCAGGUCAUAGUGAUCCGGUGGUUCUGAAUGGAAGGGCCAUCGCUCAACGGAUAAAAGGUACUCCGGGGAUAACAGGCUGAUACCGCCCAAGAGUUCAUAUCGACGGCGGUGUUUGGCACCUCGAUGUCGGCUCAUCACAUCCUGGGGCUGAAGUAGGUCCCAAGGGUAUGGCUGUUCGCCAUUUAAAGUGGUACGCGAGCUGGGUUUAGAACGUCGUGAGACAGUUCGGUCCCUAUCUGCCGUGGGCGCUGGAGAACUGAGGGGGGCUGCUCCUAGUACGAGAGGACCGGAGUGGACGCAUCACUGGUGUUCGGGUUGUCAUGCCAAUGGCACUGCCCGGUAGCUAAAUGCGGAAGAGAUAAGUGCUGAAAGCAUCUAAGCACGAAACUUGCCCCGAGAUGAGUUCUCCCUGAGACUUUAAGUCUCCUGAAGGAACGUUGAAGACGACGACGUUGAUAGGCCGGGUGUGUAAGCGCAGCGAUGCGUUGAGCUAACCGGUACUAAUGAACCGUGAGGCUUAACCUUACAACGCCGAAGGUGUUU
rnacentral:rRNA from 1 species